CAGGAGAUGGCAGCCACUUUUUGGAAAACGGUCUUUAAAAGCGUUGCUGGGUGACCGGUCGAGGAGCAGGACACGCAGGAUGAUAGUCACCCGCUGAAAAGGCACUUCUGACAGGCCGGGGUGCAGCACAGAGUCUGCCCAGAGAACCACAUGUGAGUCCUUAAAAUGGUCAUAAAUAUGUGUAGGGAUAAUCACCUUAUUUUUAGGGAUUGCAUCCAUCUUAGGGGACAAUCUGAACUCUGGAGAUCAUAGCCAAUGCUUGCUUGACAUCCCAAAAGCAAAACAAAACCCAGCAACCCCAAGGACCAGAUUCCAAAACUAAAAGCAAAAGGACAACAGCGGGAUGGCUGAGAGGCCUGUGCAGCACUGGCGGCCACGCCUGCGGGGACAGAGGGAAGGAAGGGC
rnacentral:lncRNA from 1 species